CGGGUUUGGUGACUGGGACGAAGUCGUAACAAGGUAGCUGUACCGGAAGGUGCGGCUGGAUCACCUCCUUU
rnacentral:rRNA from 1 species